GGGCUCUGCCCGCAGGGUGGCGCAAUGACAAGAGCCACCCAGGUGACCCUGGUAACUCGCGCACCUAGACCUGUGCCUUGGAUUUGUCUGGGGGACUCCACACCACCCUGAUCCUGGCCACCAUGUCAGAAUCCUGUGAGUGUUGAGUUCUCCAGAAGUGAGACAUUAUGUCCUGGAGCAGACACUGAUGGGGACUCACUCAGACACUCAUGGGCCACCUGAUUUCUGUGUUCAUCCUCCCAGGCUCGGCGUCUCAGAUCCGGUAAGGCUUCCUGCUCUUUUGUGGUGUCUGUAGUUAAAAUUUUACUAAUCAGAACUCUGUUUCCAGCUUAAGCCGUAAGGCAAAGAAUUGUUACUUAGAAUAAAGAUGUAACAAAUAGUUCCUGUAGCCCAAACCUCUGUCGUGAUUGACAGUUCCAGGUGCCUAUAUGUGUCCAGGGCAAAUUAAACACACCAAUCAAUGGC
rnacentral:sRNA from 1 species